GAUGUGAGGCUGAUCUGGCUCUGACCUCUGUCACCCCACUGAUCUUCAGGGUUGACGAGCUGAUCUGGCUGGCUAACUAGGUAUUCCCUUUCCUGCCUCACGGCUCCAUGUGCAUCCCUCCUGGAACUGCAAGCUUGGUGGAAGAGGAUGACCUUCCCCAACAGGGGAGGGUGCUUCUUCAGUCAGGGGUACACGGGAAGCUGUUCUUCCCUGCUAGAACCUCCAAACAAGCUCUCAAGGUCCAUUGUAGAAGAGAGUAGGCUAAUCAAGCUUCCAGGACUCCAGACACACCUAAAUAAGGUGCUAUCUGUGGCAGUCAGCCUUUCUUUU
rnacentral:snRNA from 1 species